CCUGGUCAAAGAAGGAAGCCUGUAUCCUAUCCAUCCAUAUCAUGGACAAAGGCUUAUCCACAGCUACCCCAGAGGGCAGAGCUAGAGCUAAUGGGCUAAAGUUAUAGGAAGGCCAAAGUUGGUUGAACAUUAAGAUAAAAAACCUGAUACUGAGUGGUUUGGCAAUGGUGCCAAUUACCUAGAGGGAUGGUAGGUUCUCCCACACUGGAGGCCUCCAACAAAAGCUAGGCAGCCAUCUGGCAGGGUCUAGCUCUGGAUUCCCUGCAUAAUUAAUAAAUUAGUUUGUUUGUUUAUACAAUUUAUAUCCCUCACACUUCCUCCUGAAGGAGCCCAGGGUAGCAAACAGACAGGAAAUGGAACAAUUAAAACAUCUACAAACAAUUCCAAUACAGACGCAGACUUGGACAAAUAUCUACUUAAAAGCAUCCACUGAAGACCAGAGGCAAGUUCACAUGAAACUAUGAUGAUAUCUAAAGGGCCCCCUUUCCUGAUAUGAACCUGCCUGGAGCCUGAGAUUGUCAUCUGAAGCCCUUCUCUGCAUGGCACCUCUGAGGGAGGUCCAGAAAGUGACGACUAGAGACUGGGUGUAGUAUUCCCUCCCCCAUUUAUGGAAUGCUGUCCCCAGGAGAAGGCCCACCUAGUGCCAACCUUGUCAGCAUUUCCACACCGGGCAAAGAUGUUUUUCUUUCUCCUAUUCGGGCAGCACCAGUGAUAGGAUUGCACUGUUGAAUCUGUAGGUGAUUUCAUUGUAUUUCCCCCCUUUUGAUUGUAAAUCACUUCAGGACUUUCUUAUUGGGAAGUAGGGUUGCCAGGUGUUGGAUUUUUGGGUCCUCUCUGGGUCUCUGGGUGAGUCACCCAAUCUCAAGACUCACAGCUUUUGUUAAGAAAGUUUCUAGGUGGUCUGUUUCAAGAGAUAUAUACCAAAAAGCAGAGCUUGGAAAAGUUACUUUUUUGAACUACAGCUCCCAUCAGCCCAAUCCAGUGGCCAUCAUGGCUGGGGCUGAUGGGAGUAGUAGUUCAAAAAAGUAACUUUUCCAAGCUCUGCCAAAAAGUCAACCACCCCCUACAACUUCUGUUAAAAGCUGGGAACUGACUGCUCUGACCCUGCCCUUUCAGAUUUGUAGCCAAAAAGUGAAGUCAGGGUUGUGAUUGACAAGGGAUUUGUUGACUUCCAGGCAAUAGAUGGAACCCAUUGCAAGGCCAGAAAACAGUUGUCUUUUGCUGCUUCUCUGAAAAUCUCAUGAAUUGAGUAAGUUUAUAGCUUUCAGCAGUAGUAAAAGUCUCUUUCUCUGUGUACAGGAGAUGUAGAACAAAAAAUCACAGUGGGAUCUUGAUAGGCUAUUGUUUACUGUGAACAAUUUCAGUUAUGAGUAUAAUAAAAGUGUACUUGCAGGGUUUUUUUAAA